CCCUUAGAUGUCCUGGGCCGCACGCGCGUUACACUGAUGCAUUCAACGAGCUUAUAACCUUGGCCGAGAGGCCUGGGCAAUCUUGUUAACGUGCAUCGUGAUGGGGAUAGAUUAUUGAAAUUAUUAAUCUUGAACGAGGAAUUCCUAGUAAACGCAGAUCAUCAAUCUGCAUUGAUUACGUCCCUGCCCUUUGUACACACCGCCCGUCGCACCUACCGAUUGGAUGGUCCGGCGAAGCCUCGGGAUUGUGGUUCUUGCCGCUUUAUUGUGGCGUGACCGCGAGAACUUGUCUAAACCUUAUCAUCUAGAGGAAGGUGAAGUCGUAACA
rnacentral:rRNA from 1 species